rnacentral:rRNA from 1 species
GAUGAACGCUGGCGGCGUGCCUAAUACAUGCAAGUCGAGCGAACAGACGAGGAGCUUGCUCCUCUGACGUUAGCGGCGGACGGGUGAGUAACACGUGGAUAACCUACCUAUAAGACUGGGAUAACUUCGGGAAACCGGAGCUAAUACCGGAGAAUAUAGUGAACCGCAUGGUUCAAUAGUGAAAGACGGUUUUGCUGUCACUUAUAGAUGUAUCCGCGCCGCAUUAGCUAGAUGGUAAGGUAACGGCUUACCAAGGGGACGAUGCGUAGCCGACCUGCGAGGGUGAUCGGCCAUGCGGGAACUGAGACACGGUCCGGACUCCAACGGGAGGCCGCAGUAGGGAAUCUUGCGGCAGGGGCGAAAGCCUGACGGAGCACCGCCGCGUGAGUGAUGAAGGUCGUCGGAUCGUAAAACUCUGUUAUUAGGGAAGAACAAAUGUGUAAGUACCUAUGCACGUCUUGACGGUACCUAAUCAGAAAGCCACGGCUAACUACGUG